GCGGCUUUGGUGGGGGAGGGGGUGGCCUUCAUCAUCAUCGUCAUCGUCAUCAUCAUCGUCAUCGUCGUCGUGGUGAUGGCGGCCUUCAUCCACCUGCGGUUGACCUUCAUCAUCGUCAUGGUGACGGUGGCCUUCAUCCACCCGGGCUUGACCUUCAUCAUCGUUGUCGUGGUGACGGUGGCCUUCAUCCACCUGCGGUUGACCUUCAUCAUCGUCAUGGUGAUGGUGGCCUUCAUCCACUCUUGGUUGACCUUCAUCAUCGUCAUGGUGAUGGUGGCCUUCAUCCACUCUUGGUUGACCUUCAUCAUCGUCAUGGUGACGGUGGCCUUCAUCCACCCUUGGUUGACCUUCAUCAUCAUCGUCAUGGUGACGGUGGCCUUCAUCCACCUGGGCUUGACCUUCAUCAUCGUCAUGGUGACGGUGGCCUUCAUCCACUCUUGGUUGACCUUCAUCAUCGUUGUCAUGGUGAUGGUGGCCUUCAUCCACCCUUGGUUGACCUUCAUCAUCGUCAUGGCGACGGCGGCCUUCAUCCACCCUUGGUUGACCUUCAUCAUCGUCAUGGUGACGGUGGCCUUCAUCCACCCUUGGUUGACCUUCAUCAUCAUCGUCAUGGCGACGGCGGCCUUCAUCCACCCGGGCUUGACCUUCAUCAUCGUCAUCCUCCCCGUCGCCGUGGUGACGAUGAUGAUGGUGGUGGUGACCCGGGGAGCCUUCGUCGCUCUGGUGAUGAUGAUGAUGAUGAUGAUGAAGGUCACUGGGGGAGCCUUCAUCCCUCUGGUGAUGAAGAUGAUGGAGGUGACCAGGGGAGCCUUCAUCCCUCUGGUGAUGAUGAUGAUGAUGGUGCUGAGGAUGAUGAAGGUCGCUGGGGGAGCCUUCCUCGCUCUGCUGAGGAUGAGGAUGGUCAGGGUGAGGAUGAUGAGGAUGAUGAGGAUGGGGGCCACCAGGGGAGCCUUCCUCGCUCUGCUGAGGAUGAGGAUGGUGCUGAGGAUGGUGAAGGUCGCCGGGGGAGCCUUCCUCGCGAUGAUGAUGAGGGUGAGGAUGAUGAAGGUGAGGAAGCUCCGGGGGCUCCCCCCAGGCCGCCCCCGCCCGGAGGAGCAGCAGCAGCAGCAGCACGGCCGGAGCCAUGAGUGACCACUGAGUGACCACUGAGUGACCACUGACCGACUGACCGCUGAGUGACCCCUGAGUGAUCAAUGAGUGACCCUUGAGUGACCCUGAGUGCCCAGUGACCAGUGAGUGACCAAUGGGUGACCCUGAGUGACCCCUGAGUGAUCAAUGAGUGAUCAAUGAGUGACCCUGAGUGACCCUGAGUGACCACUGACCAACUGACCGCUGAGUGACCCCUGAGUGACCAAUGAGUGACCCUGAGUGACCACUGAGUGACCCCUGAGUGAUCAAUGAGUGACCCUGAGUGAUCACUGAGUGACCCCUGAGUGAUCAAUGAGUGAUCAAUUAGUGACCCUGAGUGACCACUGAGUGACCACGGAGUGACCACUGACCGACUGACCGCUGAGUGACCCCUGAGUGACCCCGAGUGACCCUGAGUGACCACUGAGUGAUCAAUGAGUGACCACUGACCAACUGACCGCUGAGUGAUCAAUGAGUGAUCAAUGAGUGACCCUGAGUGACCCUGAGUGACCACUGACCGACUGACCGCUGAGUGACCAAUGAGUGAUCAAUGAGUGAUCAAUGAGUGACCCUGAGUGACCCUGAGUGACCACUGACCGACUGACCGCUGAGUGACCAAUGAGUGACCAAUGAGUGAUCAAUGAGUGACCCUGAGUGACCCCUGAGUGACCACGGAGUGACCACUGACCAACUGACCGCUGAGUGAUCAAUGAGUGAUCAAUGAGUGACCACUGAGUGACCCUGAGUGACCACUGACCAACUGACCGCUGAGUGACCAAUGAGUGAUCAAUGAGUGACCCUGAGUGACCCUGAGUGACCACUGAGUGAUCAAUGAGUGACCCUAAGUGACCAAUGAGUGAUCAAUGAGUGACCACUGAGAAGUGACCACUGAGUGACCACAGAGUGACCACUGACCGACUGACCGCUGAGUGACCAAUGAGUGAUCAAUGAGUGACCCUGAGUGACCACGGAGUGACCACUGAGUGACCGGUGCUGAGUGACC
rnacentral:lncRNA from 1 species